rnacentral:rRNA from 1 species
ACCAAGGCGACGACGGCUAGGGGGCCUGAGAGGGUGACCCCCCACACUGGAACUGAGACACGGUCCAGACUCCUACGGGAGGCAGCAGUGAGGAAUAUUGCACAAUGGGCGCAAGCCUGAUGCAGCGACGCCGCGUGGGUGAUGAAGGCCUUCGGGUCGUAAAGCCCUUUUCUAGGUGACGAGAAUGGACGGUAGCCUAGGAAUAAGUGUCGGCUAACUACGUGCCAGCAGCCGCGGUAAAACGUAGGACACAAGCGUUAUCCGGAGUUACUGGGCGUAAGGGCGUGUAGGCGGACAUGUAAGUCUACUCUGAAAGCUCCUGGCUAAACUGGGAGAGGCGAGUGGAGACUGCAAGUCUAGAGUGAGGAGGAGGAAAGUGGAAUUCCGCGUGUAGUGGUGAAAUGCGUAGAGAUGCGGAGGAACACCAGUGGCGAAAGCGGCUUUCUGGUCCUUAACUGACGCUGAGGCGCGAAAGCAUGGGGAGCGAACGGGAUUAGAAACCCCGGUAGUCCAUGCCGUAAACGAUGUUCACUAAACGUUCGUUUCCCGCGAGGGAAGCGGGUGUUGAAGCUAACGCAGUAAGUGAACCGCCUGGGGAGCACGGUCGCAAGGCUAAAACUCAAAGGAAUUGACGGGGGACCGCACAAGCAGCGGAGCGUGUGGUUUAAUUCGAGGCUACACGAAGAACCUUACCUAGGUUUGACAUCGUAGUGAAGUCUGCGUGAAAGCGUGGAUGUCCCGCAAGGGACACUAUGACAGGUGCUGCAUGGCUGUCGUCAGCUCGUGCCGUGAGGUGUUCGGUUAAGUCCGCAAACGAGCGCAACCCUCGGUGCCAGUUACAAGUGUCUGGCGCGACUGCCCGUGGCAAACGGGAGGAAGGUGGGGAUGACGUCAAGUCAGCAAGGCCUUUAUAUCUAGGGCUACACACACGCUACAAUGGCGCGUACAAUGGGUCGCGAACCUGCGAAGGGGAGCCAAUCCUAAAAAGCGCGUCUCAGUUCAGAUUGCAGGCUGCAACCCGCCUGCAUGAAGUUGGAGUUGCUAGUAACCGCGCGUCAGCAGAGUGCGGUGAAUACGUUCCCGGUCCUUGUACACACCGCCCGUCACGUCAUGAGAGCUGGUGACGCCUGAAGUCGGGAAGCUAACCGCAAGGGGGCUACUGCCGAGGGCAGCACUGGUGAUUGGGACGAAGUCGUAACAAGGUAGCUGUAGCGGAAGCUGCGGCUG